rnacentral:lncRNA from 1 species
AUGUGUAUCCCAUAGUAUGGGAAAUAAAAGAAACUGUGCUCAUGUGUAAGGCUUGGGUUUUAUUUUCUCUUUGAUUUCCCUAAAGACUUGGCUGGCCAUUCAGCGAAGCUGUAUCUGGUUGACACUAUGGAGUUCUCUCUACUUACUGCCCUGUUUAAGGAUUCAUGUGAUCAACCAAGUGUAGGGUCAGAAAGCUGUUUUGGUAGUGUGUGUGUGUGUGUGUGUGUGUGUGUAAAACUUUGAAGGGCUUUUGGUGAAAGCUUUAUUAUUGUUAAAAAUAAGACUGUGGCAUACUGGAAACCGUAGAUUAGAGUUGGUAGCAGAAGCUUCCAUCUUGGAGCUUUUAGGAGAGUAAUGGGCUCCUGGGAAGAGGAUUGAGUUCACUCUGAAGCCACUUGGUGCUCUCUCCCUCUGUAUCUUGUGCUUUUAAGUCUAGAAAGCGUAUUUACAGAGCAAUACCCUAACGAAUGGCUGUGGGCCCGCUAAAGUGCGCCAGCAAAUCCUUUUGCAACGUGUGUGAAGUGUGCCAUCUCUGUGGGGUCCUCACCCUCAGUAGGACCAUACAAAAGCCGGGAAGGCAAGAUUUGAGUGGAGGGCAAUUCCUUUUGGAAACAUGAGCCCUAUCUUGUCUUUCACCCGAAGUGCCAAUGAACCAAAUAACCCCUUCUGCUCUUCACAACAGGGACCUCUCAGAGAGGCCCAAAGUCAGACCCAUAAGGGGCCAAAUUCCUUCCAUGGGCAGGUCAUAGAACCACAAUACAGGCUCCUGCGUCUGAGCAUGCAACCCUUUGCCCUCUGGGCUCCUGCUGUGUGCAGAGCUACACUUGAUGGUAGACCUGAGUCUCACACACAUCUUUCCCUUCAGGAGUCCAAGGGUGGAGUGGAGUUCUUGAGAGAAGACUUUACUGUGUUAUAAGCUUAAAGCCCAAAGUUCUUGACGGUGAGUUUCCUUCUGGAACAUAAGGACCACUGGAGACACUAGAUUCUGUGCCCAUGCUCCUAACUAAAGUGCAUGUGUGUGUGUGUGUGUCUGUCUGUCUGUCUGUCUGAGAGUCAUCUUUCCCCCCACUCAGGAUGGCUCUUAAAAAGCCACUUAUGCCUGAAGUCAUGGGAUAACGAGAUAUUGGUGCUGGGUGGCGGGAGGGGGUGGGGAGCCCAGGGCUCAGCUUUCAUCCUGUUAAACUUUGACACUUUCUUCUCACUUGAAAGGACUUUUUCUACAUGGCUGUUAAGGUAGUAAAUUACCUAUGUGCAAACUACAACUAUGAGGCUGUGUGUGUGUGCAUGUGUGUAUGUAUGUGUAUAUAUGUGUGUCUGUAUGUGAACCUAGCAUACUGUGAGAGGGGCCACGAGGGAUCUUGUGCAACCUACUGAAUAGUGGCUUUCUAAGUGCCUUUAUAGUUGAGAGAGUUGAUAUUGAACCCAGGUCUGGGGGCUGAGGCAAACCCUGGCUCCUUGGGAACUCAUCCAUAGCUCAGAUCAACCAGUAGCCUCCUGCAUCAGCACCCACUAUGAAUGUCUUUUUCUUUUCCCCUUCUGUUCUUUUUUCUUCUCUCCCCUCCCUGCCUUUCCUCUAUUCCCUGACUCUUUGAGAUAGAGUCUAGUUAUUAGCCCAUGCUGGCUAUGAACUCACCAUGUGCAGCAGGCUUGUCUCCAGCUUUGAUCCUCCCAAGUGGUAUGGUCCCAGGCUUGUGCUGCCUCUGCAGCUCAGUUUGCGGUGGCUUCACUGACACAGACUUCUUCCUCUUUCUUUGUGUUGAAUGCCUUGUUUUAUCAGUUCUGCCUUUUCUAGGAUGCUCCGAGGAGUGCAAGAGGUUAUCAGAGUGUUCUGACAUAAGUUACUGCUUGCCUUGGAAGAAAUUAGGAGCUAGCUCUGUUGCUUUUACUGUGAUUAUUAAGU